GACGAACGCUGGCGGCGUGCUUAACACAUGCAAGUCGAACGAUGAACCCGGAGCUUGCUCCGGUGGAUUAGUGGCGAACGGGUGAGUAACACGUGAGUAACCUGCCCUUGACUCUGGGAUAACUGCGGGAAACUGUAGCCAAUACCGGAUACGACCCUCGGCGGCAUCGCCAGGGGGUGGAAAGAAUUUCGGUCAAGGAUGGACUCGCGACCUAUCAGCUAGUUGGUGAGGUAACGGCUCACCAAGGCGACGACGGGUAGCCGGCCUGAGAGGGUGGCCGGCCACACUGGGACUGAGACACGGCCCAGACUCCUACGGGAGGCAGCAGUGGGGAAUAUUGCACAAUGGGCGCAAGCCUGAUGCAGCAACGCCGCGUGAGGGAUGACGGCCUUCGGGUUGUAAACCUCUUUUAGUAGGGAAGAAGCGAAAGUGACGGUACCUGCAGAAAAAGCACCGGCUAACUACGUGCCAGCAGCCGCAGUAA
rnacentral:rRNA from 1 species